AAUAAAUGAACUCCGUCUCCAGUGCGCUUCACUUGUAUUUUUUUCUAAUUUUACUGUCAUUAGGCCGAUAAUUUAAUGCAUAUUUUGUAUGCAACAGUUAUUUUGACUUCAUAUCGUGCGUUAUUAUGCUCAAACUUAUUACAGGGAGUGCUCUAAGUGCUUCUAUUAACUAAAAUCAAUAACAAUCAGUGACCAACAAAGUUACCGAGAUGAAUUAUGAAGCUGACAGAGCCAUGAAUCAGAAGCGGUUGCGAAUGGAGGGCGAGCCGGGCCAUGGAGUUGUGCAAGGGAAUGGUUUACCGCUCAAUUAUAUUGACAAUGGCCACCAGAUUCCCUACCAGCCGUACGCGGGGGCGUACAACACGCACUACCCGCCGCCGGACGCGUUCGCGGCGUACGGCCCGCCGCCGCCCGGAGGCUACGCCCCGCAGAACCUGUCGUACGCGCCGCCCGCGCACCAGAACUACCCCCACCACCAGAGCUUCCAGCAGCCGCAGCAGCUGCACAUGCCGCAGACCCAUAUGGGGAAAUACUUCCAAGGCUACGCGGACGUGGCCGUGCACAAGCCGGCGUGGAGCGGGCAGACGCACCUGCUGCCCCCUCUGGAUCCGCAGAAGCUGGACGUGAAGCAGCUCAAGCCGGAGAUCAAGCUGGAGCCCACUGACUCGCAGAAGAGGCCUCAUCCGGACCCUGAUAUCAUGGGCGGGGACCUGGAUCAGCCGAAGAUCAAGAUAAAGACGGACAUCUUCAAGCCCGACGACCUCGCGCACCGCCCUCACCAGACCGACAACACCAUCGAACCACCGAAAGACCUUCACAAAUCAGCUGAUCAAAUCAAUAAAGAUGACGGCGGUCAAUCCGGCGAAGGAAAACCGGGAGAUAAACCUGCAGAAGCCAGUAAGCCGGAGGGUUCCUCGGAGGCGGCGGGGAUCGCUCCCAUUUCUACGGAACCCAAACCAGCUGGAGACAAGCCUGCGGAAGAAAGGAAACCAUUUAGCAGUCCGGAGCUGAACAAGUCUGUGUCCACCCCGAGCAAAGCGACCACACCCAGCUCAGAGCCGAAGAAACGCGGGCGGCCCAAAGGCUCCACCAACAAGCCGAAGCCCCCCGGCACCCCCGCCAAGCCCGCGACGGCCGGGCUGGGGUCCCCGCGCGCGCCCGCGCCGCGCCCGCCCGCGCCCCCCGGCCUCGUGCGCCCCCGCGCCCCCGGCUAUCAGUAUGCGGUCAGGCCGUUCAGAAAGGACUUUUCCGGCAUACAGUUUAGAAGGCGAUGGAGCGACGACUGCCUUGACUCCUCGCACAUACCAAACGAGGUAUACUUCGGAGACGUGCCAGUAUCAAUGGAAGUACUCUUCAACUAUUACGACGCGAACGCAGAGAGAGAGAAGCUGGCGACGCAAGCGGCGCACAUUGCCGCGCAGAAGGCGGCCGCGGCCAAACUCGCGGCGGCCAAGAUGCAAGCCAGGGGGAUUAUAUCUAGUGAGGUGACAACGGUAGACUCUUCAUCGGACGAAGACUCUUCGGGCGAAUCCGGGAGCGACUCGGAAGAUAGCGAUGACGUAAGGGACGCCCCCUUAAAACGCGGUCCGGGGCGGCCGAAGGGCUCCAAGAACAGCAGCCCGCGCGCCCCCAGCGCCCCGGGCACCCCCGGCCAGCGCCGCGGGCGCCCCCCGGUGCCCCCCGAGCUGAGGCAGCCGGGCAUCACUGAUAUGAAGAAGUUCUGCAAGGCUGCGGGCAUACGGUUCGAUUAUAAGAAGCUGGUAGAAGGCUGUACAAAGAACAAAGAGCGAGUGCAGAAGAUGCUCGACCUGCUGGUGGAGGCGGGGCUUGAGGGGAAACCCACGCUAGAGAAGUGCAAGGCGAUCAAGCAGGCGAAGAUAGACAAGAAGGAGCAGGAGAAGCAGUCCAAGCGCGAGGCCAAGGCUAAACAUAAAGAGGAGGAAGGUGCGGAAGGCGAGGCGGCGCCGACGGCGCGGCGCAUGACGCGCGGCGCGACGGGCGUGGCGCCGCGCAAGCACAUCGUGAUCUCCUCCGACGAGGAGGACGACACGCCCUCCGCCCGUCGCACGCUCUCCAAGCUCAGGUCCAGCGUCAACGACGACUCCGACGAGGACUAGGCGAGUGACACCACGCCCGCUAUAUACACAGGAAAACCACCCGAAGACCAAUUGGGUAAUCCUCCACUUCUCUGCCUGGUGAACUAUGUAUGUGGCAAGUUAGGCAGUGAACGGACUAGCGACCCCUAGAAAGUGCUUCGACGGGCCUUUUCCUACUAAUAUAGGUCUACGGUGAGCACGCGGCAUUUUAUUGUAUACAAAUCCGAACGAUAUUGAAAGAAGUAUUGCGUAUUUUUUUUUUAAUUUCCUGCGUAAUUUCUUCUAGGGCAAGCCUAAUCGUUAUUAGGAGACUAGUGACAUGAAAAAAUCAUAAUAUACAAAUUCGUUCGUCGAAAUUUUCACGUGUAAAUUUUUAACUGCUGCAUUUUUCGUUCAGUCGUGAAUUGUGACAUUCGUUAUAUUAUGAUUUAUCGUCAAGUGUUAUUGGUCAAGCAGUUUAUUAGUGUUGAUUCGUCAAAUCUUGAAAGAUGUACAACUAUUCAAACAACAUUUAAUUAUGAAGAAGAGAAUUUUAUUUCAACCAAACCAGAGCGGUUAAAAAACGCUUGACCAAUGUGAUUUUUACUUAUUUGAGCGCUCGAUGGUCUCUAUAAAUUAUGCAAGACUAUAAUAUGAAAUUCAAUCAACCGAUAGCCUCCUCGUUAUCGAGAUAUUGUUAAAACAGUUUGCAGGCAAUUGAAAUGUUUUUUUACUUGACGAUUUGCUACCAACAUCAAAUUUUGUCGUAAAAUCAAUGCGUGCUUGACGUUUACACGUGAAAUUGUUGACGAACGAAACUAUUUUAACGUCACAAAUUAUUGUAAUUAAUAUUACGCGGAACGCUACACCAGAUGGCGAUAUCGUGAAGCUAUCGGCGAUACUGGAACCCACACUGCUCAGAACAUUUUGAUUUAAGCUACAUAUGUUGUUAUCUCUUUCAUUUGAUGUAUAUUCUCCCUCUUGUACGUUGAAAGUUAUAGCUAAACUACCUAUCAUUACGAGUAUAUUGUAUUUUUAUCUUAAACUAACCCGCUCAAACUCAAUCUAUUCUUGUAAUUCUCCAAUAGGUUGCAUAUUACUCACAGCGAUAAGGUCUCCUUUUGCGCAUAUAACUUUUCAAGAUUGUAACUCUAACUUUAUUUUUAUUAUGUGCAAUAAAUAUCUCCAUACAUAAGAAAUUCAGGUCGGGUCACAGAUGAAAAAGGUAGCAAUAUGUACCUUACAUCAAUAAUAUUCGUAGGGCUGGCUCCUGUAUUUAUUAUCUACAGCUUCAUGGGCGACACGAAUGAUGACAUUACGCUUUUGAAUGACAUACGUCAUUGUCACUGUCAAAAGCGCUGUUUACAUCUUAUUUCUGUUGCUGCACUCUGUAUCAUAUUAAUGUUCCCUAUUUCUUAAUAACUUAUGCCUUUGUCAAACAGACAAAGGGCGAUAGUGAAAAUCAAAAGAGGUUAGACGACCUCCGUCGCGUAGUGGUCACCACGCUCGCUAUCUGGAGGUUCUGGGUUUGAUCGCAGCGCGGGCAAAAAUUUGGACUUGUUUUUUUCUAACAGAAAUCAGUUCGCUUAUACUUUUAGCUUCGUUGUCUAUUUGACAAAAUCAUAUGAGGUUGGAGAUUUAAAAAAAUUUGGCAUUCAAAAUGAUAUAAAAUUUGAUAACCAGUCAAAAUUGAAUAUUAUUUGGUGACAGAAAAUGUCCGUAUUUUAAACACUAUAAUGGGAUAAGCUAAAGUAUGUCCCUUGACGCAAAUUCAACAGUGUUGAUUAACACAAAAAUACUUUUAUAAGUAUUUACUUGAAGUACAUAUUUAUGAAGAUGGCAUUUACAAAAUAUAGGUAGCUCGUACAUUUAUUAUUUUAUAUCAUAGAAGUCUUACUAAUGCAGCUGAUGAAGGCAUAAGCUAAAUCAAUUUAUUUUCAAUUGAUAUGUGUUAGAAAUAAACAAUUUGCUUUAAUAUUUAAUAGCAGCGUUUUUUUUUUUAAAUCGAUGCCGGGAAUAUUCCCGUCUAGUAUAUCGAUAUAACUGCCUACAAUAAAGUGUACAAGCGUGCGUAGCCUUAACAAUAUUUUAAUGCUGAUUUGAAAUGUGCGCGAAAGACAAUAUUGCGUUGGUGUUUCGAAAUUAUGUAGCUAUAUAGGGCUGCGACAAUAGAUAUACCUAUAUUUUAUUCCCAAAAAGUUAUAAUACUAAUAAAAAAUCUGUGAAUAAGACUUUUUGAUUAAAAUAUGUUGUCUGACUACCGUUUGUGACAGCCCUAAGUGUAGACCUUUGGAUUUAUAAAUAGUAGAUAGAAUUGUAUCGUAGAAGUAGAGAGGUCAAAGAACGCUAUGGUAAAUUGAAAUUGUACCCUUGAAAUUAAUUAUGCAUGAUUUAAUUUGUAUGGUUUUAAUCGCGUGACACUUUUUUCUUUCAUAUUUUGACUUCUGUUAAUUUUAAUGUCGGAUAGUCUGAAUUUAUAUUCUGACUUGGUUCGGUGUUAAAAUUACAAUAAAAAAUGCAAUGUUGUUGCAAAACAAUGCACAAACACUGUCAAGUGGCAGUUUUAUGAUCUCUUCCAUUGUUAUUCUAUAAUUAUUCGAAUUUUGAACAGUUCAAAAAUACUGGCAGUUAGUGGCGCAUCGUGUUCUGUUGAAUUUUGAACCUUAAUUAUAAGUAUGAUAAAGUCGCAGGGACUGGAGUGAUAUAAGGAAUGAUUUUUUAAUUGAGUGAAUGGAUUCGUUUGAAUCUAGAACGAAGUGUAGGACUAAAAUCCCUCGCCUAUGUAAGGUAGUGAUAGAACGUCGCUUGUUGUAAUCGGCACUUAUAAUUGUUCAUUUGUGCCUAUAAUACAAUAUAAAUGUAAACUAAUCUAUGUGUGUGAGUUCAUAUAUCUAUAUAAUUUUCAUUUAUUUACAUGUAAUAGGUGAAUAGUUUUGAGUGGAGUCAAAUUUUAUACUCUAGUUUUUAAUGAAAAUAUAAUAAAUUGGUAACACCAACAAUUUAACAUUAGGUAUUUUAGGUCGUGUAUAUAUUGAGGAAAAAAAUACAUAAACAUUAUGUUUCCUACUUUAUUUUUGUACAGAAUUAUAUUCGAACGUUUCUGCUUUGUAUAUAGCGAUUAAAGAUGGCGUUAAAAUUGCAAUGUGAAGCGAAUUGGCUGUAGAUCGUCUUUAUUUAUUGGUUCUAAAUCGUAUAUUUAAGAUUUUAUUUACAACCUUUUUAGAUUCAGAAUAUCAACUAAUAAAAAUUAGAAAAAUAAAGUUACGUUUUUAAUAUUUUAAAAAUUGGCUUGCAAUACUUUCUAACUAAAAAAUAUUAUUAAAACAACUAUUAAGUGUCAAACAAGCAUUUAUUACAAAUAUAAAUUACCACAACGACUUAAGUUUCCCUAAAUGUUGAAAACAACGUUUUUGAUAAACUGUUUUUAUAACGAUGUGUUUAGCGGUUAAACUCCUCAUAUUUGGACAUCAUAAAGUAUAAUCAUCACUUUUGAGUUAGUAUUUUUAUUCAAAUAUAAUAUCAACCUAAUAUCAUUUUUUUUUGUUUUUUAAUACACACAAUACAUAAUUCUUGCAUCCAAUAAUAAUUAAUGGAUGAUGAAUCUCAAUUAAAAACAAAAUAACUUGAAGGCACGUUUGAACAGUAACACCGACUUAGUGCGAGCAUUCGAUAAGGGUUUUCAAUGAUUUCUAAAAGUUAUGUUAGACGCCUUUAGUUGGCGGUUUGAACAAAAUCUGACACUAGUGUUAGCAAUUAGCUCACUCGAAAUGAAAAGUUUUCCGCCACCAGAUUGCAAUAGCCCAAUUGCGCUAAUGACUUCAGCUGCAUCGCAAUGGAACCUCUUAGAUUCUGGCAUUUUUUUCCCCGUUUCUCUUCGAAACUUGACAACGAUAACGUUGGUUAACGGUUCAGUUACGAUCCGAGAAUCUGUUAAAAUAUUUUUGCGACGCCGGAAUGUUGAAAAAAUAACGGAGCGAUCAAGGUUGAGCUAUGAUUCGAAAAUUAUUAGCGCGAUUGGGGAGUUGGACCUGACAUCUGUCAGUUAGUACGCAGUAAUUUGAUUUUGACAAGUGACCAACCAAUCACAGCGUAGCAUUGUGGCGUGUUUUACAUAUAGUAAACUGGUUUGUCGGUGCAAGUAAACGCGAUCGAAAAUGAAAACUCGCACUAUACAUAUCGCAAAAACCAAUAAUAUAUUACCUAACCCUGUUAAUAAGAAAAGUUAAAACAUACUUUAAGCUAAAGUAUGAACAUACGUACCUUAUGUUUUGUCUCUGUCAAUGGCAAAUAUAAAGUGCGUUAUAGUGACAAAACUUAUAUUAGCAACUUUUAUAUGACUAACGGGGUAAAUAGAUUUCCAUUAAAAAUUUCGUAUUCCACAAUCUCAUUCUCUCUCUAUCAUUGCGUGGAAUGACACAACUUUCUUGGCAAUACCAAUGUUUGCUAUUGCUAUUGCAAACAUUGGCAUUGCCUAGAAAGUUGUGUCAAUAUUAGAAGCCUUCUACAUGUUACUUGCGAGUGUAUGUUGAAAUAUAAUUUAUAAUGAAACGGAGGCGAAUAAAGCAGCGAGCCUAAUUAUAUUUUAAAAUUAUUGCCGAAAGAGAAUCCCUAUUUCAUUUUCACGAAAUUCUUGUUAAAAAUGAAAUUUGAAAUCUAUCUUAAUUAAGUAACUGUAUUGGUAAAAUUAAUGCUCAUUUUUACUUAAUAUGAAAAGGGUUUCGAAGGUUCUAGAUUGUCAUAAUAGGCUUCAUGGGCAUGGUUUUUGUGUAUCUCGACAAGAUUUGAUUGCGACAAGGCAAAAUUAUUGAGUCACGUGCGUGUUUAUGUAUUGUAUGAUAGGAAAAUGCGAAAUCACAAUAUCAUUUUUUAUAUUAUUGAAAAUUGUACAUAUUAGUUGUAGCGUUAGACCUAAGUUUAUUAUCAUUUAAGAAAUAAUAGAUAUUUGUAUUUGUAAGAUAUGUUUAGAUGUGUUUGUUUUACCAUAAAGAAACAUUAUUAUUCGACCAAUUUAACAAGGCCGGCUAGAAUUUUUAUUAUUCCCUUCAAGAAUAUAGCGGCCUUGUGGCCUUUUUGAAAUGGUCGAGUUGUAGUCAACUAUAUACUAAAUAUUGUAAUAAUUAGCUUAAGAAUAAUGCUUUUCACCGACAUACCUUAUACUUUAUUUAUAAACGUCAGCAUAUUAUUACCUUGCCAAUAAAUGGGGCAUAAAUUGAAUUUAUUUUUUUAUUUUUAAUCUAGAUUGCGCAGUAGCGGGUGUGUAGAAUUAUUAGGAAUGUCUUGGCGUAGACUGUCAUUUUCGCAAAAUGACACCUUAAAAAAUUUUCGUCACUUUCGCAUUUUCACAAUGUCUGACUUUGGCAAAAAGUUAGCAAAAAAAGACAUUUUAAGAAAAUUUUUAAAUUAACUUUUGCGAAAAUGAUAUUUUGAGAAAGUGACAUUUUGCCAAUGUGACGUUCUGGGUCAAGAAAAAAAUAGGAAUUUGUACCCAAACUUCACUGAUCUAUAAGCAAUAAGCAGGUUACUCUGAUAGUUUUAAUAUUCAACACGAGUGUUGGGAUAUCUUGUUCCAAUAGUAUUUUCAAAUUGAUCGUAUUAACAUAAAAGCGGGUAAAACCAAUUCAGCCGAUUUACAUCACACCGCUCGCGACUAGCAAAACUUUGUUCGUUGAAAUAUGAGCUUUAGGAGCGUCUUCUGUAGACAUAAUUUACUUUGACAACAUAUUAGCGGUCAGGUCGCUGUGUGCCUCCUAAGAUAAUAAGACUCCUAAGAAAAAUAGCGCAUUUCUAACACACCUCUCACCCGGCAAGAUGAAGUUCAUUGCAUAGUGAGCUUUAAAGCGUCCUCUGUAGACAUACUUUACAUUGACAACAGAAGAGCUGAGAGCGAGCAGUUCGCUAAUUUGUUGUCAAUGUAAUGUAUGUCUACAGUGGACGCUUUAGAGCUUAAUUUUUAAUGAACGUCAUCUUGCCGGUUGAGAGCGAUGUAGUUGAAGUGUUGCUGAUGUAAAAUAUGCCUAAAGAGAACGCUCUAAAGCUCACUUUUCAAUGAAAAUCACUUUGCAAAAACGGUGGUGCAUUAAUCUGUUCUAAUUGUUAUAGCUGUUUUGCCCAGAUAUGUAUGAGGAAAACGCGUACUACGGGAUAACUUUAUUUAUAAAAUACAUUAAUCCUAUUGGUAUGACCUCAUUUAACUCAUACAUGCAGACAGGCAACCUCUAAAAAGACUUGAAAAGACAUGAUCACGGGAAUAAUAAAAGGCAUCAUCAAUUUAUAGAAACUGGUCAAAAUUAAUCCACUACUGUUAGUCGUAAAGUCCAAAAGUAUAACAUAAGGGCCUAAACGUAAUGUGUGAUUAAACUAUUGGCGCCUCAAUAUUAAAAGUCUACACGUCAGGGACGUGGCUGGAAAAUUCCGACAAGGGCACGGACGUAAAUCGAAACAUACUUUAACCUAAAGUUUGUUUUAAGACAUUAAUUGUUGCUAUAUGGGCAAUGCCUGAUUUAAAUGAUUUUUAUAUAUAUUUUGAGACUCGUGUUACAAAUGAUUUUUAUUCUCAUAUAUGUAAUGUAACAUUACAUAUAUGGAAAUAAAAAUUGUAAUGACAAUCAUUUAUUUCACGAGUCUAAAAAUAUAUCGACGACCUCGGUGGCGCAGUGGUAAAAUUCUUGCCACUGAACCGAGAGGUCCCGGGUUCGAUCCCCGGUCGGGUCAUGAUGGAAAAUUAUCUUUUUCUGAUUGGCUCGGGUCUUGGAUGUUUAUCUAUAUAUGUAUUUGUUAUAAAAUAUAGUAUCGUUGUUUUAGUAUCCCAUAACACAAGUCUCGAACUUACUUUGGGGCUAGCUCAAUCUGUGUGAUUUGUCCUAAUAUAUUUAUUUAUUUAUCAUUACAUUUUUAGAGUCGUCCAGUCACGUCCCUGAAAUGGCUGUGAUGUGGGGAUGGAUCUUCCGUUUUAAGGCUAGCAAUAAUAGGUGUGAUUUAAAGCUUAUUUGGUUGUUAAAUAAUAAAAAAAGAUCAGUUUCAUUUAGGGAACGCACUUUAUUUACAUAUUAUAUUGUUCUAUUGGUAAAGGUAAUUUUGUGGUAAUUUUUACUAAGAUAUAAUUCUGUAAUCUCUUACUCAAACACUUUUCAGAUCUACAACUAAAAAUACAUACAACAAUGACCAUAACAUGCCUUUGCCCGUGGAACGUCACAUAUGUUUUAAACUCAAAUUUCAUGUGUUAGAGCGCGGUCUCACUAUUCCUUACAAUACAGUUGACGGAGCACGGUGCGUUGGAGUACUGAGGCCGCGCUCAUAUUAUGCAUAGUUUUCCGAAACCUGCUUUUAAUUGUAUUACGAGUAAUUGGAUGAAAAUUGGUGUACGAUGUAUAUAGGUAGUGAUUGUGACAAAAUGGCGGCUGUAAUAACGUAAUGGUGACCGCGCUGUAACUUUGCAUUAACAUUUUUUGUAAAAAUUUAUUAUUUUUUCAGACGUAGAAUGCCAUAUUGUGAUUAGUUUAGCUACACGAAGUAUUUUUCAAAUAAAAAUAUCUAUGUAUACAUGA